rnacentral:pre_miRNA from 1 species
GUGGAAUAGAAAUCAUCAUUUUUUACAUGUGGCCAUGGCUUGUAGGUUGUGGGUUUUUGUUUCUUUCCAC